rnacentral:rRNA from 1 species
GAUGAACGCUAGCGAUAGGCUUAACACAUGCAAGUCGAGGGGUAACGUGUUGGAAGCUUGCUCCCGAUGACGACGACCGGCGGAUGGGUGCGUAACGCGUAUGCAACUUGCCUCACAGUGGAGAAUAACCCGGAGAAAUCCGGACUAAUGUUCCAUACACUCUUUAGCACCCUGUGCGUAGAGGAAGAUUAUUCGCUGUGAGAUAGGCGAUGCGUCCUAUUAGGUAGGUUGGUGAGGUAACGGACGUCACCAACGACCGACCGAUAGGUAGGGUGGCUGAGAGGCAGAUCCCCACCAUUGGGUACGUGAGACACCGGCCCGAAACCUACCGUACCGGGAAGGCAGCAGUAGGAGGAAGUAUUGGUCAAUGGAGGAAACUCUGAACCAGCC